rnacentral:rRNA from 1 species
CAGAGGGGGCAAGCGUUAUUCGGAAUUAUUGGGCGUAAAGGGCGCGUAGGCGGCCUGGCAAGUGGAAGGUGAAAUCCCUCGGCUUAACCGAGGAACUGCCUUCCAGACUGCUUGGCUUGAGACCAGGAGAGGUGAGUGGAAUUCCCAGUGUAGCGGUGAAAUGCGUAGAUAUUGGGAGGAACACCAGUGGCGAAGGCGGCUCACUGGACUGGUACUGACGCUGAGGCGCGAAAGCGUGGGGAGCAAACGGGAUUAGAUACCCCGGUAGUCCACGCCGUAAACGAUGAGUGCUUGGUGUAGCGGGUAUCGACCCCUGCUGUGCCGAAGUCAACACAUUAAGCACUCCGCCUGGGGAGUACGGUCGCAAGGCUG